UACGAAGGGGGGCUAGCGUUGCUCGGAAUCACUGGGCGUAAAGGGUGCGUAGGCGGGUCUUUAAGUCAGGGGUGAAAUCCUGGAGCUCAACUCCAGAACUGCCUUCGAUACUGGGAGCUCGAGUCCGGGAGAGGUGAGUGGAACUGCGAGUGUAGAGGUGAAAUUCGUAGAUAUUCGCAAGAACACCAGUGGCGAAGGCGGCUCACUGGCCCGGUACUGACGCUGAGGUGCGAAAGGCGUGGGGAGCAAACAGG
rnacentral:rRNA from 1 species